rnacentral:rRNA from 1 species
UCCGGCAUAGAUAACGGAGAGGCCACACCUGUUCCCAUACCGAACACAGAAGUUAAGCUCUCUGGUGCCCACAAUACUUGGCUGGAGACGGCCCGGGAAGAUAGGUAUUUGCCGGAU